rnacentral:rRNA from 1 species
UACAGAGGGUGCAAGCGUUAAUCGGAAUUAUUGGGCGUAAAGCGUGUGUAGGUGGUAUGACAAGUCGGUUGUGAAAACCCCGGGCUCAACCUGGGAAUUGCGAUCGAAACUGUUGAACUAGAGUGUGGAAGAGGGAAGUGGAAUUUCCGGUGUAGCGGUGAAAUGCGUAGAUAUCGGAAGGAACAUCAGUGGCGAAGGCGACUUCCUGGUCCAACACUGACACUGAGGCACGAAAGCGUGGGGAGCAAACAGG